rnacentral:rRNA from 1 species
UACGUAGGGCGCAAGCGUUGUCCGGAAUUAUUGGGCGUAAAGAGCUCGUAGGCGGUCUGUCGCGUCCGUUGUGAAAACUCGAGGCUCAACCUCGGGCUUGCAGUGGAUACGGGCAGACUAGAGUGCGGUAGGGGAGACUGGAAUUCCUGGUGUAGCGGUGGAAUGCGCAGAUAUCAGGAGGAACACCGAUGGCGAAGGCAGGUCUCUGGGCAGUAACUGACGCUGAGGAGCGAAAGCGUGGGGAGCGAACAGG